rnacentral:sRNA from 1 species
UGAUUUCGCUUCAUCCUAGAGGCUAAAUGGGCUCCCCUGGACUCGCCUGGCAGAACUAACCACCUAAAAGAACGUUAUUGCAAGGGGAAAAAUGCAAACAGGGUGAAGACAAGAGGCAUAGAUGAUGGACACUAAAACAAAGACCUGAUGGGGUCUCACUAUGUUGCCCAGGCUGGUUUCAAACUCUGGGACACAGUCAGUCCUCCUGCCUCAGCUUCCCAAAGUGCCGGGAUUGCAGCCUCUUUUCAGCCUGAGUCCUAAACCUGAAGAAGCUACAGCCUGGAGCUCUAAACUACAUGAGUCUUUCCAAACGACAAGCCAAGAAGAUCUGUUGAAAGUUUCCUCUUAAGUUUCGUGGAGAGAGACUCAGGUAUAGAAAUAUCCUUACUGCCACCUGACCUGAAGCAGAAGAAAUCACUGACAGCUUCCAGACCAGCUGCCACCCACCGGGAGGGAAGUGAAAUCUCACCUCAACAAGUGAGUCCGCAGAGCGAGAACCCUGCGACAGCGCGUCUGCCAAUACCUGGAAUGUAGGUGCUCGUUGCAGUGUGGCCUUCCCAGCCCGCCUCUCA